GGUGUCUUAUUCAACUUAACCCAGAGGAUGCUAUUUCUCUCCUUGCGUUCUAGAUGAUAGCCAGUGACUUUGCUACCUCCAUCACUGACUGGCUCGUUCCAUUGUACUUCCAUACUGUCCUUGGAGGAGAGCGUUACGAAUGGUGUGCCAGGAGGACCAGGAACUUUGAAUGGAUACUGGGCUACAGUAGGCUCUGAAUUGAGUCAGGAUAUCAACGACAUAUCCGAUAAUUCGACUCCCACCAUUGCUGCGAGGCUUUUUCCAGCCUAUGCUACAAGAUGACUUGGUCACAGACGUCACUUUAAGGUCCACAACUGGUCCAGGGGUUUCUAAAGCAAAGGAGAAACGAUACGUCUAAGCCCUGGAUAACCAAGGUCGGAUGAGGCUUUCCAUACACAUGGGCUUCAAUUCGGAGUUUCUUCCCAGCUUUGAUAGUAAUUUGCUCUGGCAUAAGGAUCUUGGGUGGCACUAAAAUAACUUCCAGUUUCCUGGGGGGAUCCGGCUCACCUAGAAGAAAAAACCACCCAGGUAACGGUUGGAGGAGGCUUGCCAGAUACAUAGGCGAUGAUCCGAAUCACCCCUCCAGCAUGGACCACAAUUCUGUCUCUGACGCUGGCAUCUAACUGAAGAUUAUUCAUGGCUGUGAUGGUAUAUAAGUUUCUACUUAAGAAAAAGAAGCUCGAUUGUGAAGAUAAAUGGGUCUCAGCAGUUGCUAAGCAAAUAACUGGUUACUUUCUGCCCUUUUUGAGGAGCAUGCAGAGGAACUGUGUUAACUUCUGCAGUGUUGGUGACUUCUUCCCAUUCAGCUUUCUUCCUGCUUGCAUCGCGUUUGUCAAUGACAUAAUGGGUGAUUUCACCCCCACCAUUGUCUAGUGGGGCAUCCCAAGUUAAGUGGCAAGACUCAGCUUUAAUGUCAAUAACAGCAAGAUUUCUUGGUGGGGAUGGACGAUCUGAAAAGGAACCAAAGGAGGAGAUUGAGAAGCAAAUUCUUAAACAGACACUGGAUUUCUUUUUUCUAUAAGAAAGCGUGUCACUUACCGUAUACUUCAACAUGGACAUUUCGGAACACUGAGCCAAGGCGAUUAGAAGCAGUCACCGUAUUCAACACCUUCAUCAUCUUGUAUGACCACAUUAAGAGGCAGGGAUGGUUCGCUUUCACCAAUUUCGUUGACGGCCUUGACACGGAACUCAUACAUUUGGUGUUCAUCAAGAUCUUCAACCAGAAGAGAUGUGGUUGGGCAGAGUCGCUUGUUAACUCUUUCAAAGUCAGGCGGUCCUUCACCUGCGGCGUUGACGGCGCUCACUCGAAGUUUGUAAUCGGCACCCUCUCGGAUUUCUUUGACAGUGUACUCACGGGCCUUGAUCAUCUCCUCUGUGCAGCGGGACCAUUCAUUUGUGCCAAGCAGCUGCUUAUCAACAAAGUAGCCAACAAUUUCCCCACCACCAUUGAAAGCUGGGGGUUCCCAUGCCAGUUCAAUAGUUGUGGAACUUGUGUCAGUGACUCUUGGGACAGGUGGCCCAGGUGGAGCUAGAAUGAAUGCAGACACAGAAAUCAAAACUCACUGAUGGGUACUUCCCUGGCGGUGCAGUGGUUAAGAAUCCGCCUGCCAAUGCAGGGGACACGGGUUCGAGCCCUGGUCUUGGAGGAUCCCACAUGCCGCAGAGCAACAAAGCCUGUGUGCCACAACUACUGAGCCUGCGCUCUAGAGCCCGUGAGUCACAACUACUGAGCCCACGUGCCACAACUACUGAAGCCCAAGCGACUAGAGCCCGUGCUCUGCAACAAGAGAAGCCACCGCAAUGAGAAGCCCGCGCACUGCAACAAAGAGUAGCCCCCGCUCGCCGCAACUAGAGAAAGCCUGCACUCAGCAACGAAGACCCACUGCAGCCAAUAAAUAAAUAAGUAAAUUUAUUUAAAAAAACAACAACUCACUGAUGAUGGUUUUAAAAUGUGCAGUAGCUUACGUGAUCCCACUUUUUUUUUUCCACAGUGUGUUGCAUGUAAUAUGGGAAUUACUUACAGAUUGGAUCAUGUGCUGUUUUGGGAUCUGAGGGGGGACUGAACUUUCCAGGUCCAGCUGCAUUUUCGGCACGUACUCUGAAGACAUAGCCACCUGAUUAAUAAGAAACUUACCAAACGGAUAUUUGGCUGUUAUUGGAGUGGCCUGAACUGGCUCACCAACACCGUACAUGUUUUCUGCAGCAACUCUGAAGAUGUAUUCUUUAUUGGGUGUUAAUUUGGUUGCCUUGAACUUUGUAUCCUUGACAGUUGACGAGAGCUUGUGCCACAUAUCACUGUCGGUCGCUCUUCUCUCCACGACAUAGUUUGUGAUUUUAGAUCCGCCAUCAUUGCGUGGUGGGUUCCAUGUGAGAAGACAUGACUCGUUGGUCACUUCCGUGAUGUCUAAAGCAGCUGGGGGUCCAGGUUUAUCUGUGGAUGACAUUACACACUCAGAGAAAAGCAUUUUUUUAAUAUGGUUUAUUUUCAAAAGUAGCUGGAACGAGUUUGCCCAUUUUUAAAAUGAGAGCCUCCCUUACCUAAGACGUUCACUUCUACCACAGCGGUGGCCCGACCACAGACGUUCAUGGCCUCGAUAAUAUAUGUGCCACUGUCACUUCUCUUACUAUCCACGAUCGUCACUGUGGAUUUUUUAGGAACGUUUUCAAUGGUGAUUCUUUUGUCGUGCUUCAGAAGCAUAUCAGCCUUUGUCCAGGUUACUGUAGGUUCAGGUUUGCCAGUUACAGUGGCAGGAAGUUCAAUCUUAGUUCCUGCUUUUACAGUGAGACCCGCAAGGAGCUUCACGUCGAGGAAAAUUUCUGGAGCCUCUGAAUUGGAAAAGAUUAUUUAUGAUGUUACCAAGUUUAGGCAGAAUUAAAGUCAAAAGUCUGAUUGAUAAAGCAAAAACCAAAAGUAAGUACCCUGUGUGUCCACAGCCUGGAUUUCUUCUGUGGGUCUGCUUGGCUUGCUAGCUCCUAGCCUAUUCAAGGCCUUCACACGAUAGGCAUACCACUGGCCUUCUUCAAGACCUGUUACUUCCAUUCUGUCAGAAAACAAAAUAGGAUAUUUUACUUAAUGCAUUUAAUCUGUUCCAUUGUGUAGUAUUCAUAAUAUUUCCAAAAUUCAUACCCCUGGUAUAAUACUGUCCUUUAAAUUAAUUCUGGAUUGCUUCAACAUUUUAACUAAUGAAAACCUUGAUUAAAGGGUAAGUUCAGCAGCACUUUUAAAAAUCAGACAGGCACACCAAGGAAGUUCUAAAGUUAACAUUUAGAUUUACCAAAAGAAAGCCUAUUUUAGUAAGAGUAAAUAUUUACUUUUGUGCCAAAUAAUUUAAAAACUUACUUUGUUUCUGCAACUGGGUCUCCACAAGCGACCCAUCGAUCAGAACCACGUGGACAUUUUUCAACUAAAUAUCCUUUGACGCGUGAACCACCAUCAUGUUUAGGUGGAUCCCAUGUUAGGAAGAUGCUCUUGGCUGUUCGAUCUCUCCACUUAACAUUCUCUGGUGGGUCAGGUACCGCUAUAGCAUUUUAAAGAGAGAGUCAGUCUUAGAUAGGCCGUCUAUGAAAUCUCCAUACUGCCAACCUGUGUCUUUCCCCCAUAACUUCAACUGCAGGUCUAAAGCAAAAACAGGUGGGAAUUCCCUGGUGGUCCAGUGGUUAGGACUCUGUGCUUCCAGUGCAGGGGACAUGGGUUCGAUCCCUGGUCGGGGAACUAAGAUCCCACAAGCUGCGUGGCACGGCCAAAUAAAUAAAUAAAUACAUAAAUAGAAAUAAAAGCAAAAACAGGUAACAAGAGGCUAGGUAAGAAAAUAUCAAGAAUGUACUCACUUGCAGGAGCUGACAUAUUUACAGGUUCAUCAACAUAUGCGGGUUCUCCAGGGCCACACUUGUUACGAGCACAGACUUUAAAUAAAUAUUCUUUUCCUUGAACAAGAUCAGUAACUGUGAAUUCUAGGUCAGUCACAGAGUCUGUAACCUGGGACAAAGCAAUACAGUUAAUAAACUGUUUUCCAAAAACUCUUUGCCUAAGUCAAAAUAUUUUUACCAUGA